UCCUUUCAGCCAAGGCUGCCCAAAACCAGAAAACAAUAUUCUUCCCUUUCUUUUUAUUUUUCCUAGAUUCUAGUUUUGCUUUUUAUUCUCUUUUGUCCUCCAACUACCCAAGCCUUCUUCAGCCCUGUGGCCUUCCUUUUCCAAGUGGUUCUUACUUCUUGUUGUGCCACUGGCCUCAAAAUUUGUUUCUCCAAGUAUAUGCAAUAGCUUGAUGAUUGUGCUGGGGAGAAUUGCACUUGUACUGCAAGAAAUGCCAUGUUUCUAUGGCUUGUAAUAUGGUUUUCUUGCUAUUUACAAUUGGGGUUAGGGCUUUGCUUUUAUGACUUUUGUGUUAUUCUCCCCCAGUAUCUCCAAUUUUUUUUUCAUAAUUUAGUACUUCAAAUUCUAAGUUUUCAACCGAUAAGCUUAACCUGAUUGGAUCUAGGAAUUGCUUUAUUAAAUCAUAUACUUCCAGUAAAUAUCAAGAGCCUUGCAGGCAGCAUUGCAACGUUGGCAAAUUGGCUGGCAUCCUGGAUAGUUACAAUGAUUGCUAAUUUACAUUUGACUUGGAGCAGAGCAGGGUUCUUCAUUCUACUCGAGAACGCCAAGGAUGUUACAAAACACACAACAGUAAUGCUGAAUUAAAGAAACAGGGAGAGGAUCGUUCAGAAAGAUGGUGUGAGUUGUCA